rnacentral:rRNA from 1 species
UACGGAGGGGGCUAGCGUUGUUCGGAAUUACUGGGCGUAAAGCGCGCGUAGGCGGACCUGCAAGUCGGGGGUGAAAGCCCGAGGCUCAACCUCGGAACUGCCUUCGAUACUGCGGGUCUCGAGUCCGGGAGAGGUGAGUGGAAUUCCUAGUGUAGAGGUGAAAUUCGUAGAUAUCUGGAGGAACACCGGUGGCGAAGGCGGCAUCCUGGACCAAUAUUGACGCUGAGGAGCGAAAGCCAGGGGAGCAAACGGG